UAAUAGCGUAUAUUAAUGUUGUUGCAGUUAAAAAGCUCGUAGUUGGAUUUUGGUGUUUGACAAACGGUCGGCCUUACGGUUUGUACUGUUUGUUGGCACUUCUUUUCUGGGGAACUCACUGUUCUUAAUUGAAGGGUGUUGUAACGCAGAUCGUUUACUUUGAAAAAUUAGAGUGUUCAAAGCAGGCCAACGCAUUGAAUACAUUAGCAUGGAAUAAUGGAAUAGGACUUUGGUCUUAUUUUGUUGGUUUCUAAGGCCGAGGUAAUGAUUAAUAGGGAUAGUUGGGGCGUUUAUAUUCCGUUGUCAGAGGUGAAAUUCUUGGACCUUCGGAAGACUAACAACUGCGAAAGCAUUUGCCUAGGAUGUUCUCUUUAAUCAAGAACGAAAGUUGGGGGAUCGAAGACGAUCAGAUACCA
rnacentral:rRNA from 1 species